rnacentral:tRNA from 3 species
GGGCCACUAGCUCAGUUGGUAGAGCGUUGCAUUCGCAUUGCAGAGGUCAGGAGUUCGACUCUCCUGUGGUCCA